rnacentral:tRNA from 3 species
GCGAACUUGGCGGAAUGGUAGACGCAGGAGACUUAAAAUCUCCAGCCUGUAAAAGGCGUGCGGGUUCGAGUCCCGCAGUUCGCA